CGUGUAGGCGGCCCGGUCAGUCCGCUGUAAAAGUCCAGGGCUCAACCCUGGAAAGCCGGUGGAUACUGUCGGGCUAGAGUCCGGAAGAGGCGAGUGGAAUUCCUGGUGUAGCGGUGAAAUGCGCAGAUAUCAGGAGGAACACCAACAGCGAAGGCAGCUCGCUGGGACGGUACUGACGCUGAGACGCGAAAGCGUGGGGAGCGAACA
rnacentral:rRNA from 1 species